rnacentral:rRNA from 1 species
AUUGAACGCUGGCGGCAUGCCUUACACAUGCAAGUCGAACGGCAGCACGGGAGCAAUCCUGGUGGCGAGUGGCGAACGGGUGAGUAAUAUAUCGGAACGUGCCCAGUAGUGGGGGAUAACUGCUCGAAAGAGCAGCUAAUACCGCAUACGACCUGAGGGUGAAAGGGGGGGAUCGCAAGACCUCUCGCUAUUGGAGCGGCCGAUAUCAGAUUAGCUAGUUGGUGGGGUAAAGGCCUACCAAGGCAACGAUCUGUAGUUGGUCUGAGAGGACGACCAGCCACACUGGGACUGAGACACGGUCCAGACUCCUACGGGAGGCAGCAGUGGGGAAUUUUGGACAAUGGGGGCAACCCUGAUCCAGCAAUGCCGCGUGAGUGAAGAAGGCCUCGGUUGUAAAGCUCUUUUGUUCAGGGAAGAAACGGUAGAGUUCUAAUACAGCUUGCUAAUGACGGUACCU